UAGCGUUAUCCGGAAUUAUUGGGCGUAAAGAGCUCGUAGGCGGUUUGUCGCGUCUGCCGUGAAAGUCCGGGGCUUAACUCCGGAUCUGCGGUGGGUACGGGCAGACUAGAGUGCAGUAGGGGAGACUGGAAUUCCUGGUGUAGCGGUGAAAUGCGCAGAUAUCAGGAGGAACACCGAUGGCGAAGGCAGGUCUCUGGGCUGUAACUGACGCUGAGGAGCGAAAGCAUGGGGAGCGAACAGGAUUAGAUACCNUGGUAGUCCAUGCCGUAAACGUUGGGCACUAGGUGUGGGGGACAUUCCACGUUUUCCGCGCCGUAGCUAACGCAUUAAGUGCCCCGCCUGGGGAGUACGGCCGCAAGGCUAAAACUCAAAGGAAUUGACGGGGGCCCGCACAAGCGGCGGAGCAUGCGGAUUAAUUCGAUGCAACGCGAAGAACCUUACCAAGGCUUGACAUGAACCGGAAUGAUGCAGAGAUGUGUCAGCCACUUGUGGCCGGUUUACAGGUGGUGCAUGGUUGUCGUCAGCUCGUGUCGUGAGAUGUUGGGUUAAGUCCCGCAACGAGCGCAACCCUCGUUCCAUGUUGCCAGCGGGUUAUGCCGGGGACUCAUGGGAGACUGCCGGGGUCAACUCGGAGGAAGGUGGGGACGACGUCAAAUCAUCAUGCCCCUUAUGUCUUGGGCUUCACGCAUGCUACAAUGGCCGGUACAAAGGGUUGCGAUACUGUGAGGUGGAGCUAAUCCCAAAAAGCCGGUCUCAGUUCGGAUUGAGGUCUGCAACUCGACCUCAUGAAGUUGGAGUCGCU
rnacentral:rRNA from 1 species